CGGGUGAGUAAUACAUCGGAACAUGUCCUGUAGUGGGGGAUAGCCCGGCGAAAGCCGGAUUAAUACCGCAUACGAUCUACGGAUGAAAGCGGGGGACCUUCGGGCCUCGCGCUAUAGGGUUGGCCGAUGGCUGAUUAGCUAGUUGGUGGGGUAAAGGCCUACCAAGGCGACGAUCAGUAGCUGGUCUGAGAGGACGACCAGCCACACUGGGACUGAGACACGGCCCAGACUCCUACGGGAGGCAGCAGUGGGGAAUUUUGGACAAUGGGCGAAAGCCUGAUCCAGCAAUGCCGCGUGUGUGAAGAAGGCCUUCGGGUUGUAAAGCACUUUUGUCCGGAAAGAAAUCCUUGGUUCUAAUAUAGCCGGGGGAUGACGGUACCGGAAGAAUAAGCACCGGCUAACUACGUGCCAGCAGCCGCGGUAAUACGUAGGGUGCGAGCGUUAAUCGGAAUUACUGGGCGUAAAGCGUGCGCAGGCGGUUUGCUAAGACCGAUGUGAAAUCCCCGGGCUCAACCUGGGAACUGCAUUGGUGACUGGCAGGCUAGAGUAUGGCAGAGGGGGGUAGAAUUCCACGUGUAGCAGUGAAAUGCGUAGAGAUGUGGAGGAAUACCGAUGGCGAA
rnacentral:rRNA from 1 species